UACGGGGGGGGCAAGCGUUGUUCGGAAUUACUGGGCGUAAAGGGCUCGUAGGCGGCCAACUAAGUCGGACGUGAAAUCCCCAGGCUCAACCUGGGGACUGCGUCCGAUACUGGAUGGCUUGAAUCCGGGAGAGGGAUGCAGAAUUCCAGGUGUAGCGGUGAAAUGCGUAGAUAUCUGGAGGAAUACCGGUGGCGAAGGCGGCAUCCUGGACCGGCAUUGACGCUGAGGUGCGAAAGCGUGGGGAGCAAACAGG
rnacentral:rRNA from 1 species